rnacentral:rRNA from 1 species
GACGUAGGGGGCGAGCGUUGUCCGGAUUUAUUGGGCGUAAAGCGUGCGCAGGCGGUUAUGUAAGACAGGUGUGAAAUCCCCGGGCUUAACCUGGGAACUGCAUUUGUGACUGCAUAGCUAGAGUACGGUAGGGGGGGAUGGAAUUCCGCGUGUAGCAGUGAAAUGCGUAGAUAUGCGGAGGAACACCGAUGGCGAAGGCAAUCCCCUGGACCUGUACUGACGCUCAUGCACGAAAGCGUGGGGAGCGAACGGG